UGCACGUCUGGAGGGCAGCUGAAGUCCCGGGCCCAGAGAACCGGUUGAUUUGCCCCUCAGUAGUGGUUCUCACCUUCCCCAGAUCAACACUUCGAAGGAUUAGGAGGGAGUAAAAUGGGAGGCGCAGAGACAGGUAAGAGACCAGGCCAGGAUGGAAGUGGCUCAAGGGGAGAUGCACAGCCUUCAGUCUUUCUGGAGCUUACCUUUGCUUUUCCUAUGGAACUUUCCCCAUGACGUGGCCAAGGGAGAAAAGGGGAACUCAUCAACCACAGCUGAGGGGAUGGUGGGAAAAGGGCACUUUGGGCCUGGCCAGACGUUAUCUGCACAUUUAUAAGAUCGGCCACCAUGAAGUGUAGUCAUUGCUCACUUCAGCCUGCAAGGCAAGGACGAUGACAACAGAGCAAAUCCUGCUGUCUACCCAGGCCUGGAAGUCUCAGCAACCUAAACAGCAAGUGAGAACAAUCUUCUGCAGGCAGCCAAGCCAGUCCUCCACAGCUCACGUCUUCUUUUUAUGAAAGGAGAGAGAACUUUCAAGGAAGAAGGCAGAAUGAAUUGUUAAGACACAAACUCCCAAAGUAAGAGACAGGUGGAGCAGCCAACACAGGGAAGUUGGUGAGGGUGGGGGGGCGGUGAGAGAGGGGAUGAGUGCGGAAGACACAUCUACGGGAGCGGCCUGUUCCGGCGGGCCCGCCACGACAGCUCGCACACCUGCACAAAUCGCUGAGUCCACGUGGGAGCCCAGACUCAGCCACGGCACAGCACUUGGCUCACCUGUCCACUGAGAGUGGGGAAGAGAACAAGGACAGGAAGGAUGAGCGGAGAAGGAGAGAGAGCGCGGCCCCCAGCAACCCAGCCGGCAGCAUGUCCUAGCAUCUACUGCCAGCGUUCCUGGCCCCGUACAUGGUCCUAAGGAGGAAGCUGGGACCAGAGGCCCAUCUCUUCUCUCACUCGGAGGCGUCCAUAAGAAGUCCAUAAAGAGAUUAAAGGAUCACUUUGUAACAUUAAUUUUUUUUUAUUAAGAAGACAGAUAUUUUAUAGUACUUCUUUUUUUUCUUUUUUUUUUUGUAAAAAUGGUAUACAUGAACCAAUACAAAAUGCGAAUGGGAACAUAUGGAUAUGGAGUUUCUUACACUGUAACAUUGUCCAUGUACACCUUAAAAACAGAACUGGCCUAAAGGGAAAAAUAAGACGUCGGUGUGACUAAAGAACAAGCUUAUUUGGCAUCAAUUAUACAUCCUUCAUUAUUUUAUAUUCCUUUAAAAAACACAAAAAACAAGUUUGUUCUUUCUUCACUCUAAAAAAAGUGAUCAACCUGUACAAAGUAAUACUCAACAAUACAUUUCAAACAGUGCACUGUAUACUUAAGAAAAAAUACAUAAACCAAUAUACAACUAAAAUCCAUAAUUUCCUGUUUUUGCUUUGUUUUAUUAUUAUUUUUUCCAAUGUGUGGGGCCUACACUUUGCAAUCUACCUGAGACGGAAAACACCAAUCGCAACACAUGAACCUGAGACAUGUCAACAUUGUAAGCCAUAAAGUUACAUCAGGAACACUGCACUACUGUACACUUUUCAAAACAGAAAGAUGGGAGGUCCCAAAAAUGAGAUGCCAAUUCUGUGAGCAAUGGUGUGAUUUUUUUUUUUUGUUUUUGUUUUUGUUUUUCUUUUUUUCUAAAAAGAACAACUGAAAAAAAACCUUUCAACAACAUGCUAAAUGAUUCUCACCCUUUGAUAUGAUUAUACUAUGGUCGGAAUGGGUGCUAAGGGCUCGGAAUAGAGCUGCAGAUUAUACCAGUCCGUUCCCAAAAGGCCCCCAUAUUGCAAUGGU
rnacentral:lncRNA from 10 species